CUACGGGUUGCUGCAGUGAGGAAUAUUGGACAAUGGAUGGCAAUCUGAUCCAGCCAUGCCGCGUGAAGGAAGAAUGUCCUAUGGAUUGUAAACUUCUUUUGUAUGGGAGCAAUAAGUUGUACGCGUACAAUGAUGAGAGUACCAUACGAAUAAGCAUCGGCUAACUCCGUGCCAGCAGCCGCGGUAAUACGGAGGAUGCGAGCGUUAUCCGGAUUUAUUGGGUUUAAAGGGUGCGUAGGCGGUUACUGUAAGUCAGCGGUGAAAUUUAGGGGCUUAACCCCUACCGUGCCGUUGAUACUGCAGAGCUGGAAUAGGGAUGCUGUUGGCGGAAUGUGUAGUGUAGCGGUGAAAUGCAUAGAUAUUACACAGAACACCGAUUGCGAAGGCAGCUGACAAAUCCCUUAUUGACGCUGAUGCACGAAAGUGUGGGGAUCGAACAGGAUUAGAUACCCGGGUAGUC
rnacentral:rRNA from 1 species